rnacentral:sRNA from 1 species
AUCGUAUGUCAUCCAAUGUUGUUUCUAUUGGAGUAUGCUACUUCAUUGGAAACAACAUGGUGGAUGCUACUUCAUUGGAAACAACAUGGUGUCUUGGAAGAGCAAGAAGCAGAACAACUUGGUCCUAUCAACCGCUGAAGCAGAACUCAGUGCUUUGAAAAGUUCGAGUGCUCAACUCAUACGGAUGAAACAACUCACCAAGGAGUGUGGUAUGAUUUCUGAUGUUCCGUUAAUACUUUGCAAUAAUCAUAGUGCUAUAAGUUGUUUCAAAGAACCUGUUAGAAAGUCUCGUACUAAGCACGUAGAUCAUCAACAUAGUUAUAUUCGCAAACUGGUUGAGGAGAAACGAAUAGCUAUUGAACAUGUGGGUACUAAAAACCAACUAGCUGAAAUGUUUGUCAAACCUCUGAAUUAUAGCAAAUUUCGUACUUUACUAAUGUUCAUUGAAAUGUUUGAUUUGUAAUCUAUUUGUGAGUUGUGCUGAUCUAGAACAGGGACACAAAGCGAGAACAGGUCAUGGAAAUCCAAAGAUGAAUAGAGGAUCAGCACUUUGUAAAGCCAUGUGGAAAAUAGUUGCCUGUCAUGCCGGGUCAAAUCCGACGUAAAAGAUUGUCAUCUAAUAGGAGGUCAAAGAGCUGAGAAGAUCAACCAACUGAAUGGACUUGAUACACACACACACAAAAAAAAAAAAAAUGUGUAUCAAGAUCACUUAGUUCGAAUAUCACUAAUUGAGAAGUCAAGUGAUAUUGCUGAUAUGACAAAAAGAAGGAGCAGUUCAAAAACACAUAUCAUCACGCUCCUGUUUGGUAAAGCUAUCUUCAAAAGAAAUUUCAGCUGCCUGUUACACGUUGUCCUGAUCGUUUAGAACUGAAGGUAUGACAGUGUGAAAGACUAGCCACUGAACAUUGAGCUAAUCUAUCAACAAUCUGAGUGGUUGUGACAGUUUCUUGCUAAGUUCUGAACAACCGAUAGGCACAAAGCACUGAACAGAGUACAAGGAAGAGGUAUGCUUUGAAAAUGUUUGGAUAGCUACUACUCGCAUGUAUCAAUUGUCUGUUUGGGUCACUAAACAGUUUCAGGAUAUGGCUGUUGAAAUCAUCUCAUCUCUGCUAAUUGCAAUCCUCUGCUAACUAAAAAAAUUUGAUUGAUGAGUUUCUUGGCAAUUGAGCGCUUAUGCGUUUGUUAAGUGUUUCAGAGUAAUACAAUUUUUAGGUCCAAGCCCAGUUCGAGUCUCAAAAGCCCAUAAGGAUUCAAGAAGUUUUUCUCGGGUAUUGGAGGGAAAAAGAGGAGUUAGGGUUGGAGGAGUCAAAUCAACUGUCUUUGAAAGUCGAGAAGGCAAACCCUUGUGCUCAAAGCAAAUCCAUCAGAACUCGAGUGAGAGAGAGCAUGAAAUCAAUUCUUCCGGGGCUGCAACAUCUUGUUCACCAGAAAUCUGAGUCCGAAUUGUCUGGAGAUCUACCAGAUUCACAGCCCAGCGACGCGAUGCCAGAGGUUCCACAGCCGAUUGAAUCGAAAUCUCAAGAGGUGAAGUCUGACGAAGAACUUUUGAUGCCUGAUUCCAAGUGGGCUAUGAUACUUGUCACAGGCCCGCCGCCACCGAUCAUCGAAAUUGAGGACGAGACUCAGUCGUCAACCAAUCAGGUUCAGAAGGCUGAACCAAAAUUUCCCGAGGCUGCACCUUCUCAACCCUCUGUUGCUUCAAGGAUGCGUAAGAGGAAGCAAUCCACCGCUGGAUAGGGUGGAAAGCGGAUGAAGCAAGAAAAGGGCAAGGGGAUCACCGCUUCAUCUACCUUCGAUGGAAUCCGAUUCGUCUCGAAUGAGGCUGAGAAGAUGUAUGCUCAUUUUUCCCGAAGAACUUCAUUGUAGAAGAUGGUUUGUCUAGGAAAAUGGAUGAGGCUGUUCGGAGUUUUAUUGAGAAGGCUGGAUUGAUUCGUACGGUGACUGAUUUGAAACCGUAUAAGGAGGAACUGGUGUUUGAAUUCUGGGCAAAUCUGCCUACAGUGAAGGUUGAUACCACCAAUGUUGGUGUUUUGGUGCGUAAUUGGGAGUAUGAGUUCUCCCCUGAGAAUAUUAAUGAGCUGUUUGGGUUGGCAUCUGUCGACGUGAGACAGCAACGAAUGGACAUGGUGGGGUUGAUGGAGGAUGAGGUCGCAAAGUUUCUGACUGAUGGCAAGGUCAAGUCUCUGAAGGGGUUGCUGGUGAGUGCUUUCUCUCCACCAGGCCGAAAGCUGUUCAAACUAUGUUGCACCAACUGGUCUCCAACAUCGAAUGAUGGUAUGCACAGCCUGACAGAGCCAAGCUGGUAUACAUGAUCAUGCACAACAUUCCAUUCGACUUUGGGAGGAUGGUGUUUGAUCACAUUCUUCAGUUGGCAAUAAAACCAGAAACUAAGCUCUUCCUGCUAUUUCCAAACCUGGUCUACCAGUUGAUACAGACGCAACGCCAUGUUCAGAUCCCAGUAAACCCACCCGCAUCAGCAGCGUCGACAAAGAAGAAGAAGGUGAAGCAGAGUGUAGUUGCAGGACGCAAAGACUCAGCCAACCGCAGGGCGAUGAAAAUUGCCAUCGAAAUUUUGCAGGCUGCUCUAGAUGCAGGUAAGUGUUCUGUGUGAUCUUCUUCACCUGAAUUGUAUAUCUCUGUUUGUAUACAUAAUGCUAAGUUAUGUGCUCAAGCAGGGGGAGAUAAGUCGGAUUCUUCGGCAACUGAUGAUGCUGGGGGAGAUUAAGUUGUGGGGGAGCCUAUUUUGAUUCCUUUUGAUUUCUUGUUUUAAGCUCGGUUAUAAUUCUGACCAAAACAAUGUUCUUUUUGUUUGUAAUAACAUUGUAUCAUCGUGAACAUGAGUCUCUAAUAAUUUUUUAACACAUUGUCAACUUUUAGACUAAUCGCAUUAUGUUGUUUAUGCUAGAAUGUUCUUCUAGAGUUUGUCUAUUGGUUGUGUGUUAUGUCUCCUGGUUGAGUUUCAGGUUAUAUCAAUGGAAGAAUGCUUGUGUAUCAAACUCAAUCAAAUAGGGGGAGAUUGAAGAUGCAGAAUUCAAUCAAUCAGCUGAUGGCGAUCAGAACACUGAUGGAUUUCAGGAAGAUGCAUCGAGUCUCAUCAGACGCUUGAGUUGCUGACAUGGAUGCAAGAGCAGACGUGGCAAGCUGAUGCGGCAAGCUGAGGCGGAUGAUGUGGAGAGCCAAGGAUGGAAGCUGACUUGGCAUGGUAUCAAAGACACGAUUCAACGAGAAGAUAUGGAAAAUAUCGUUUGGAAGAUUUAGAAAAGAAUAAACUUGAAAACAAGGAAAAUUCCUUAAAACGAGAUUCUCGAAGAUCCUAGGUUUAAGGUUCUGGAGAGUAGGUAUAAGUAUUCUAGAACUUAGCGUGAGGCGCUUUGAGCACUCUAGAAUACUGUCAUACGAUUGUAAACUUCAGAGCAUUGCAAAAGCUUGAAGGUGAGUGUGUAGUUUUCUUUGUCUUCACGUGAGAGUGAUAAGAAACAGAGAAGAGAAUUAGGCUUAGGUAUUCUUAGUUGGGUUUGAUCAUUUGGGUAGAAUAGAUCAAGUAAUAUUCGAGAUAACAAUUGUAAACAGUUUGUUAUCAAUAAGAAUAUAGUUUUCUAUUCCAUUUAAUACUAAUACGUUUUCUAUACUUAAAAUAAUAAUAUAUUUAUAAAAUAUUAAUACACACAACCACGUAAAUAUGAUUACUCAUAUGUAUGUAUCACCCAAAUAUACUCGACUUACCUCUAGACUAAGUAAUUAACCUAACAUAUAUUCAUAUACGAAAGAAAACACGAUCUCAUCCUCACGUUAGCCAAUCGGAUAGAUUUUUCGGGUUAAAAACUAGCAACAACGGAGACCGGUUGACAUAUUUCUCCAUCUACAACGGUUGCAUUACCUGACAAAGAUUAAUCCAGUAAUUAAUACCCAUCAUUAAUGUUUAUGAAUUAAUCUAAACCCAACCAUUUCAAACUCAGUAUAAUGACUAAACGAUGACUUGGUCUUUUUCUAAAUAAACUAAUAAGCUUUGUUUUAAGAAUUAAACCAAUCUCUUUUUUUCAAUCAUUAGAUUUUAUUUAGAGCUUAAAAGAACCAAUUCUAAAAAAAAUUAUUUACAAAAGUGAUAUGAAUGGUUCGGUACGAAUUUUUCGCCCUAAACU